rnacentral:snRNA from 1 species
AUCCAAGUGCAUGGGCAGUACGCAUACCAGUGAGGAUUCGUCCGAGGUUGCUUUUUUGCUAUUUGAAAACUAUUAUGUUUGACGGCUCCUGUUGGACUUUGGAUCGGCAGGGAAUUUUUGGUAACCCUUUGC